CUUGGUACUUCCCAGGAAGUAAAAGUCGUAACAAGGUUUCCGUAGGUGAACCUGCUGCCGGAUCAUUAUUGAAUGAACUUGGCUUAGUUGCUGCUGGUCUUUUCGAAGGCAUGUGCACACUAUGUCAUCUUUAUCUCUCCACCUGUGCACCUCUUGUAGACCUAGAUUCAACUCUCUGAGGCAACUCGGGUUGGGAGGAUUAUGCUUAGCAAUUCCUUGUAUGUCUCUAGGCCUAUGUUUUUCAUAUACNCCAUAAGAAUGUAAUAGAAUGUAAAUUGGGCUUUAUUGUCCUAUAAACUAUAUACAACUUUCAGCAACGGAUCUCUUGGCUCUCGCAUCGAUGAAGAACGCAGCGAAAUGCGAUAAGUAAUGUGAAUUGCAGAAUUCAGUGAAUCAUCGAAUCUUUGAACGCACCUUGCGCUCCUUGGUAUUCCGAGGAGCGUGCCUGUUUGAGUGUCAUUAAAUUCUCAACCUUUAUCUUUAUUGAUAAAUGGCUUGGACUUGGGGGUUUGCUGGCNAAAGUCAGCUCCUCUGAAAUGUAUUANCUGGUUGCCUUGUGNGAACUUGUCUAUUGGUGUGAUAAUUAUCUACGCCGUGGGCUGUUUGCCGUUUUAGCACUGCUUCUAACUGUCUGUUAACUCGGACAAUAUAUGACAAUUUGACCUCAAAUCAGGUAGGACUACCCGCUGAACUUAAGCAUAUCAACACAUGCUGAGGGUCAGUA
rnacentral:rRNA from 1 species